rnacentral:rRNA from 1 species
GCUCCGCGAGUGGUCGGGACGUUUAUUGGGUCUAAAGCGUCCGUAGCCGGCUUACUAAGUCUCCGGCUAAAACCCACGGCUCAACCGUGGGAUCGCCGAAGAUACUGAUAGGCUUGGGGGCGGAAGAGGCCGAGGGUACUUCCGGGGUAGGGGCGAAAUCCUAUAAUCCCGGAAGGACCACCAGUGGCGAAGGCGCUCGGCUAGUACGCGCCCGACGGUGAGGGACGAAAGCUGGGGGAGCGAACCGGAUUAGAUACCCGGGUAGUCCCAGCUGUAAACGAUGCAGACUAGGUGUUGGAUAGGCUUCGGGCCUAUCCAGUGCCGCAGUGAAGACAAUAAGUCUGCCACCUGGGGAGUACGGCCGUCAAGGCU